UACAGAGGGGGCAAGCGUUAUUCGGAAUUAUUGGGCGUAAAGGGCGCGUAGGCGGCUUUGCAAGUGACGGGUGAAAUCCCUCGGCUUAACCGAGGAACUGCCUGUCAGACUGCAUGGCUUGAGACCAGGAGAGGUGAGUGGAAUUCCCAGUGUAGCGGUGAAAUGCGUAGAUAUUGGGAGGAACACCAGUGGCGAAGGCGGCUAACUGGUCCAGAUCUGACGCUGAGGUGCGAAAGCGUGGGGAGCAAACAGG
rnacentral:rRNA from 1 species